AAAUCCCUGCCAUGCUCGUGUAGAUGCGAUAAUUUUGAGCCAACACUUGAAGAAGGGGAGCCUUACAUUUCCGAGUCGAUUGCACGCCGCCUCGGCGCGGAAGCACGAAGCUUGGAUGCGGGCACCCACUUGGACCGCGAGGUUCAAGAAGUCAAAUCUCACGGCAUUAAGGUGGGGAUUUU
rnacentral:other from 1 species